CAGAAAAUGUAUGUGUGCCCUGGUUGAGGUCUGCUAGCACUAAAGCUUGAAUGCAAGAAGAAUGCAAGGAUCCCAUAAAGGGCGAGGCAAAGGUGUCCCCUGGAAACAGAGGCCUUGAACAGCUGACCACUGCUGUGAUCUCAUGAAAGAAAACCAGGUUCUCCAGCUAUCCGGGCGCAGGGAUAUUCAGCAAAAUGUCACACAACAGCACCUCAUUCUGACAGAUCCCACUGGCACACCACAGGACCCCUGUCUGCGAUGCUUGCAGGGAUGCUUCCAAGCCUGAAGGUAUGAAAAGGACAGAUGCUGUGAUCCACGCUGUGAUGCUUCUUGAAAAAUUCUCAUGUUUGCAAUUUGCUUCGUGAC
rnacentral:lncRNA from 1 species